rnacentral:misc_RNA from 1 species
UCUGUCUCUUAGGCAUGGACACCAUACAUCAAGUUGUUCUACUAAGGUAAAUUUCGCUUCCAUUCCAUGAAAAAUGCUCCUACUAAUCACCACUAAUAGUCACCUUCUUUAUGUUGAUUCCCUGUGUCAUAAAAGAAAAACCUCUGCAGGUAGCUAUAUCACCUAUUUCUUCUUUACAUUUGAUAUCCCUACAACCAUUCGAUUGUUACUUAAAUACACACAGGGAUCAAGAAAUCCAAUUUGUUAUGCCAUAGCCAAGGGAAGAAAACCCCAUCUCCAGUACUGCUUCAUAUCCUUUUAUUGCUUCCCUAUUGCUCUCAAAAAGGGUUCAGAUGCUUGCAAAAUGUCAAGCAGUAUUUUGAAAAUUCAUUCUCUCUUCUUUGAGAACAUGUUGAGUCAUUAAUUUAAGGCACAAUCUAACCUUUGCCAAAACCAGGUAUAAUACAUGCAAACAGAUAUUGCAAUUAAUAAGAAUUGGUUUGAGUAAAGAUCCAAGGAAUGCAAUAACUUCUUUACAGCUUUACAAAACAAGCAGAGAAAGCACUAACAUUAUUAG